CAGUAGGGUGCCAUCAAGAGAUGUAGUUUGAAAUAUCCCUAAUACAGGAUCACUA
rnacentral:rRNA from 1 species